UACAGAGGUGGCAAGCGUUGUUCGGAAUUACUGGGCGUAAAGGGCGAGUAGGUGGCCAUCUAAGUCAGACGUGAAAUCCCCCGGCUUAACCUGGGAACUGCGUCUGAUACUGGAUGGCUUGAGUUUGGGAGAGGGAUGCGGAAUUCCAGGUGUAGCGGUGAAAUGCGUAGAUAUCUGGAGGAACACCGGUGGCGAAGGCGGGACUCUGGGCCGAUACUGACGCUGAGGAGCGAAAGCGUGGGGAGCGAACAGG
rnacentral:rRNA from 1 species